UCCGAGGAAACCCAGGGACGCCUUCCAAAUCACAACUGUUUUAGUAACCUGUUGUUUUUCGUCCUUGCGAAACACACUUUUGCUGCAGCCACGAACCUACGUGAUCCUCAACCCGGUCUGCUUUUAUUUGUCCCCUCUGACUUAAAUUGAUGGCCCUUAUUUUUUACCCAGCGGCUGCCCCUUGCCUUUUCUUCUUCUGUUUUCCUGCCGCCUGUUGCUUCCCUCCCCCUGCUCCCAUUUUUCAGCUUUUCUUGAAAUCUGGCAAGCGCCAGAAAGGGAAAUAACUUCCAUCCACCAUAAUUUAAAUCAUUCAAAUGUAGGUUUCUUUCUUAAAGGGAUGUUUGCUCCCUCCUUUCCCCCAGCUCCAAGAGGGGAGUGGGCGGUUUCGUGCAGUUUCUUGGUGAUGAGGUAAUGAGUUCCAGAUUUCAGGACAGAGUAGGGUGCGCAUUAAAACCACAAGGUUAGUCUGCGUCCCGAUGUGAAGCUAUUUCGGUUUUUGAUUCCGCCACCCCAAAAAAAGGGCCGGUUGGUCUUUAACUCGGGCGGGUUCGGGAAGCUCUGCUGGCGGGACGGGGGAGGGGUGGAGAAGCGGGGGUGGAGAAGCCAGGGGGAAGGGGACCCGGAGCGGGCGGGCCGUCUUCCCAGCCCGGAGCCCGGCCAGGCCCGCACCCGUGGUCCCCCCUCUCCGAGUGGCGCCUCUUCCCCGCCCCCCCUCCCCCGGCUGCGGGACCGCCCAAAAGCACCAUCACGCGGUCUCGGCGCCCUAGGCUGGCUAAAAAGUCUCUUUUUUCCAAAGAGAACGCCGAUUCCUCGAAUUUCCUUCACUUUUCCAACUCCCGGAGGGCGCUCCCCUCCCCCGCUCCCGGGGGCGCGGGCUCCGCGGGGCGCGGCCAGCCUGGCCCGCUCGCUCCGGAGUUGUUUACCGGCCCCGCCAACCGACCGGGUUUGUUCCAGCUCCCAGAGCCUGUCUCUAUAAUUAAACUCUUUUUUUAAUUGUGGGGUUGAAACGUCAUUUCGGGGACUUUCCAAGGGUGAGGGAGCCGAGGGGAGGGAGCGAGCCGCCUUAACUCUUCGCUGACCCGGCUUGCGCGCCGCGGUGGGCCAGGAGCAGCAUCCAGCCAGGCAAGGAGGGAUGGGGGUCUGGGGGCCGGAGCCGGCCUGACCCCCCCCCCCCCGCUCCCCGGGACGUGCUCAGCAGGUGCCCCAUGGUGGCGGGAACGGCCGCGAGCCGCGACCCGGGCAGGAAGCCCGACGGGAGGCGUGCACGGCCCUCCCCCGGCUCCUCCGCUCGGCAGUCAACCCUCCGGUUCCUCCCCGCGCCAGGCCAGAGUGGCCGCCCCUUCACCUGCACUGCCGCUUCCGACCGGGAGGCGAUGGGCCAGGUGCUCCGUUCCAGGCCUGACUUCUGGGCCCUCCCCACUCGCUUGGAGCCGGUCCCCUGGUGAGGAGUGGCUAGCCAGAUAUGGGGGAAACCGAGGCACCGGAGGGGAGGCGGCAGCAAGUGACCUGCGCCCCCUGCAGGUAGAUGAGAUCAGUGCUACCGGCUGGCUCUCCAGGUUCCCGCUGAACCCGAAAGAAACGGAGAAAGACAGGGCUGAGUCUGGGAGCUUGCUGCAACAUGGCUGCCGCCACAUGAGGGCAGAAAGAGGAGACGCACAAGGAAGCUGAAAAAUCUGCUGGGCUUAAAGACUUGAGUAAUUCCACGCGAAUAUGGGGAAGUACCUCACACAGUGCCCAGCCCAUGGGAACCCAACAAAUGUCAAGCUGGUUCCUUGGCAAACUCCUGCUUCCUGGGUCACCAAGGAAGAUGGGAGAAGGAGCAUCUGUCCUCUCCAUCCCCAGCCCCAAGGUAGAAAGACUGAACAGGGACUCUGGGAGGGACGAUGGCCUGGGGCAGGAGCUGGGGAGAGGCCCAAUAUGAAGAUCGUCUAGGGGGUUCUUCCUCUGAACUGGGGGGUCUGCUUCAGGGUUUAGCACAUACUUGUAAAGUGUUCACCGGUAAACUAAGUCCCUCUUUUGUCCCAGCACCAGCCAGUUUGCUUUGGAAUUAUCCUCCAGCUCUCUCUUGCAAAACCCAGCCCAGAGUGGGCAGACCCCAUCUCAGGGAGCUGUUCCUUUGAGAAGCAGGACCCACCUCCUCAGCCAGAGCAGAGGUUAGAAAGCUCUUGGAGAGUCGCCACACAGGCAGCCAGCCGGCGGAGGAGAGAGGAUGGAUCUCUGCCACAGCCCUGUGACUGCUUCAGAGCUGAGCUUCUCUCGCCAACUGCACCCUCUGCCCCAAGGGACAGCGGGCCCCCAAACCAGGGCCUGCCCUUGUCUGACCAAAGGCAACCAGAUCUGCUGCAGCUGUUCAGUGCGAGAACAAGCUCUCCCAGAGACCAGGGAAGCAGCUGGAGAAAGAUUCCUGCCAGCCCUGGGGUGUAAAUAUUUAUACAACGUGGUGCGUGGGAAGAGGGAAGGCAGAGGGAGGUGGUAGGGACGAGGCCGCACUGAGGAAGCAGACUGAAGGAGCCUGAGCUUUGGGCUCAGGUGGGAAGCCAAGAGGCUGGUGGGACCCUAAUCUCCACCUGAAUUCCUGCAUCAAAGAGGCCCAGUCCUUGCCCCUGCUCUCCUGCCAGAGUCGAGGGGAGAACGUAGACAAAACCUCCUCCCUGGUGAAUCCCCUAACCACUCCUCUUGUCUAGAAUAGCCCUCUAUGUCAGAAGGGAGGCUCUGCGUUGAACCAGAGAUAGACCAAGUCCACACGGCCCAGGAGUUAAGGGCCUGGGGGCUCCUGGGGCUUAUGGUUCGAGGGUCUUAAAGGAUGCUGGACCCCAACAGUUGGCCUCCAGGGCUGAUGGCUUAGAAGACAUAGGCAAAUUAUAAAAUAUAAGCAGAGAUUUCUCUCUAGCUUCUAUAGAAUCAAUAGUACUUUUCUAAAGUGGCAGAGAACAUUGUGCGUUGAUGAAGAUGAUGAGGAGGAAUGGAGGGGACCUGGCAAGAGAGCAAGGUGUGGAGAAGGCGAGGGGGCCCUUGAUGGCACUCCAAGAGAAGACGUGGUCACCAUCACCACAGGGCCUAGGAAAGGACGGUGCAACUCAAUGGGCGUCCAGCUGAUGCUCUUGGGCCCGCCCCCUGCAGCGCAGCUCUAGGUGUGCCCCAAGCAGAGUACUGGGUGGGCCUGCGGGACUCAACUAGCGCCCAACAGCAUUGACACCCGGGGAUGGGAAGCAAGCCUUGUGGGGGUGGGGGGGUCCCUACAGCCAG
rnacentral:lncRNA from 1 species